GGAAGUAAAAGUUGUAACAAGGUUUCCGUAGGUGAACCUGCGGAAGGAUCAUUAAAGAGUAAGGGUCUUCGGGCCCGAUCUCCAACCCUUUGUUUAACUACCAUGUUGCUUUGGCGGGCCCGUCUCACGACCGCCGGAAGUUUGGCUUCGACCAAACUUCUGGCCCGUGCCCGUCAGUGGCCCCUUCAAAUUCUUGAUCAAGUAUGAUGUCUUAGUUAAAAACUUAAUAGUUAAAACUUUCAACAACGGAUCUCUUGGUUCUG
rnacentral:misc_RNA from 1 species